GAUGAAGAACGCAGCGAAAUGCGAUACGUAAUGUGAAUUGCAGAAUUCAGUGAAUCAUCGAAUCUUUGAACGCAUAUUGCGCUCUCUGGUAUUCCGGAGAGCAUGCUUGUUUGAGUAUCAGUAAACACCUCAACUUCCAUAUCUUUUUUGAAAUGGGAGUUGGACUUGAGUGAUCCCAACGCUUUUCCUCACCGAAAAGUGGCGGGUUACUUGAAAUGCAGGUGCAGCUGGACUUUUCUCUGAGCUAUAAGCAUAUCUAUUUAGUCUGCCUAAAAAACAGAUGAUUACCUUUGCUGCAGCUAACAUAAAGGAGAUUAGUUCUUGUGCUGACUGAUGCAGGAUUCACAAAGACGGCUUCGGCCGACUUUGUAAACUCGAUCUCAAAUCAAGUAAGACUACCCGCUGAACUUAAGCAUAUCAAUAAGCGGAGGA
rnacentral:misc_RNA from 1 species